rnacentral:rRNA from 1 species
GUGCAGCAGGCGCGAAUACUUUACAAUGUGCGAAAGCACGAUAAGGGAACUCUGAGUGCCUCCUAAGGAGGCUGUUCAGGUGUCUAAAAGCACCUGAAGGAAGGGCUGGGUAAGACCGGUGCCAGCCGCCGCGGUAACACCGGCAGCCCAAGUGGUAGCCACGUUUAUUGGGUCUAAAGCGUCCGUAGCCGGCUGGGUAAGUUCCUUGGGAAAUUUGGCUGCUUAACAGUCAAGCUUUCAGGGAAUACUGCCCGGCUUGGGACCGGGAGAGGUCAGAGGUACUCCAGGGGUAGGGGUGAAAUCCAUUAAUCCUUGGGGGACCACCGGUAGCGAAGGCGUCUGACCAGACCGGGUCCGACGGUGAGGGACGAAGGCUAGGGGCGCGAACCGGAUUAGAUACCCCUGUAGU